rnacentral:rRNA from 1 species
CAAGUUUGAUCCUGGCUCAGGAUGAACGCUAGCUACAGGCUUAACACAUGCAAGUCGAGGGGCAGCAUGAACUUAGCUUGCUAAGUUUGAUGGCGACCGGCGCACGGGUGAGUAACACGUAUCCAACCUGCCGAUGACUCGGGGAUAGCCUUUCGAAAGAAAGAUUAAUACCCGAUGGCAUAGUUCUUCCGCAUGGUGGAACUAUUAAAGAAUUUCGGUCAUCGAUGGGGAUGCGUUCCAUUAGGUUGUUGGG